rnacentral:rRNA from 1 species
UUUUAAAUGGCCGCAGUAUUUUGACUGUGCAAAGGUAGCAUAAUCAUUAGUUUUUUAAUUAAAAGCUUGUAUGAAAGGCUGGACGAGGUAAAAUCUGUCUCUAUUUAAAUUAUAGUAGAAUUUAACUUUUAAGUUAAAAGGCUUAAAUGUUAUUAAAAGACGAGAAGACCCUAUAGAUCUUUAUAAUUUAUUAAAUUAAAUUAAUUUAGAAAUAUUAAUGUUUUAUUUAAUUAAGUUAUUUUAUUGGGGUAAUAAAAAGAUUGAAUUAAUUCUUUUUUAUAAUAAACAUUAAUUUAUGAAUAUUAAUGAUCCAGUUUUACUGAUUAUAAGAUUAAGUUACCUUAGGGAUAACAGCGUAAUUUUUUUAGAGAGUUCAUAUCGAUAAAAAAGUUUGCGACCUCGAUGUUGGAUUAAAGAUUAUUUUAGGUGCAGAAGCUUAAUAAUUUUGGUCUGUUCGACCAUUAAAUCUUUACAUGAUCUGAGUUCAGACCGGCGUAAGCCAGGUCGGUUUCUAUCUUUAAUAAAAUAAAAUAUUUUAGUACGAAAGGACCAAAUAUUUAAUAUAUUUAUAUUUAAUUUAUUGAAUAUUA